rnacentral:rRNA from 1 species
AACGUAGGGGGCUAGCGUUGUCCGGAAUUACUGGGCGUAAAGGGCACGCAGGCGGUCUGUAAAGCGGUGGGUGCAAUCUCGAGGCUCAACCUCGAAACUGCUUGCCGAACUGGCAGACUAGAGCACGGGAGAGGACAGUGUAAUUCCCGGUGUAGCGGUGGAAUGCGUAAAUAUCGGGAGGAACACCAGUGGCGAAGGCUGCUGUCUGGAACGUUGCUGACGCUGAGGUGCGAAAGCUAGGGGAGCGAACGGGAUUAGAUACCCUGGUAGU